rfam:Beta vulgaris subsp. vulgaris Bvchr4.sca002.con0019.1, whole genome shotgun sequence.
AUAUGCAAUGAUGAUAAAUGGAUCUACCCAGCUCAUUAUGAGGUCUUCUUUGUGGAGAUCAGGGAAUUGAAAUAUUUCCAACAUUUAUCUGAGUUUUUU